CUGUCAGGGGGGCACAUCUCAGCCUCAGGACCGGAGACCGAAGCGCGCGUUUGGACACGGGGCGGAUGAAAAGGUUCGCCAUCCGCACGGAGCAUCCCGCGUCUCUGACGGAAACCAGAUCCUCCUGAUGUGGUUACAGGAGCGGGAAGAUGUCUCAUUCACAGCCCCAUCAUGCAGCCGUUCCGCAGAUGAUGAGGGUGGGUUGGGGGGGGGAUUAUCGAUCUGAUCCACGCCGGGACUCACCUGGCUGUCAAAGCAGGUGUGGACAGAGAAACUGGAGGCUCAAGAAGCGCUGUGGAUGUUUUUAUCUCCUGGAUGCAAAGGACGCUUCGGCAAACCCUGAAAAGAAGCCUCAGCUUUUCCAGUUUACUGCUCUGACGAAUGAAGGAGCCUGUUCCUGUCUUUGGUUAUCUAGCUGUAUGAGUGUAAACUCUCCAUCAUAAAGCUAGAUAACCGAAAGCAGGAAUGACCUCCAAGGCUUCGACCCCUCAGCUCUUCUGAGAGGAACCCUGGAAAAAGAAAGAAGCAUCACAUGAUGUGUUCAGCUAAAACAACGAUGAGCCUCAAUCCAGCCAUGCUUCAGAAUGAGAGGAUCAGCACAUCUUCCACCAGCAUGCUGGGAUCUGGCAGCUCGUCUGAAGAUGAACACAUGGAGCUGAACUCAGACUGAACAGUUCAAACAAACAGUAAUAUAAAGACACAAAGAUGUAGCGAUGCUUGUAAAGUUAGUUAGGUAAAUCUUUUCAUAUGAAAAGUGAGAAUGCAGGUUUAUUUCUGCUAAAUAUUUUUUUAAACUAUUAGAUUAGCCUGGACAUGUCUUAAAAUCAUGUUCGAUAGAAGAAAGUAUGUCUGUUUAGCCUCAACUUAAAUAAUUUUUAUAUUUAAAUGGUGUUAAUAGACGUGAUAUCCUUUUUCUUUUUCAAAACAAAAUGCUGAAAAGUGGAUUAUUUUAAUGUAAGCUGUUCAAUUAUCCAUGUCUUCAAUAAAACAGAUUAAAAGU